GAUGAACGCUGGCGGCGUGCCUAAUACAUGCAAGUCGAGCGAACGGACGAGAAGCUUGCUUCUCUGAUGUUAGCGGCGGACGGGUGAGUAACACGUGGUUAACCUACCUAUAAGACUGGGAUAACUUCGGGAAACCGGAGCUAAUACCGGAUAAUAUUUUGAACCGCAUGGUUCAAAAGUAAAAGACGGUCUUGCUGUCACUUAUAGAUGGAUCCGCGCUGCAUUAGCUAGUUGGUAAGGUAACGGCUUACCAAGGCAACGAUGCAUAGCCGACCUGAGAGGGUGAUCGGCAACACUGGAACUGAGACACGGUACAGACUCCUACGGGAGGCAGCAGUAGGGAAUCUUCCGCAAUGGGCGAAAGCCUGACGGAGCAACGCCGCGUGAGUGAUGAAGGUCUUCGGAUCGUAAAACUCUGUUAUUAGGGAAGAACAUAUGUGUAAGUAACUGUGCACAUCUUGACGGUACCUAAUCAGAAAGCCACGGCUAACUACGUG
rnacentral:rRNA from 1 species